rnacentral:rRNA from 1 species
AGCAUCGGCUAACUCCGUGCCAGCAGCCGCGGUAAUACGGAGGAUGCGAGCGUUAUCCGGAUUUAUUGGGUUUAAAGGGUGCGUAGGCGGCACGCCAAGUCAGCGGUGAAAUUUUCGGGCUCAACCCGGACUGUGCCGUUGAAACUGGCGAGCUAGAGUGCACAAGAGGCAGGCGGAAUGCGUGGUGUAGCGGUGAAAUGCAUAGAUAUCACGCAGAACCCCGAUUGCGAAGGCAGCCUGCUAGGGUGCGACAGACGCUGAGGCACGAAAGCGUGGGUAUCGAACAGGAUUAGAUACCCUGGUAGUCCACGCAGUAAACGAUGAAUACUAACUGUUUGCGAUACAAUGUAAGCGGUACAGCGAAAGCGUUAAGUAUUCCACCUGGGGAGUACGCCGGCAACGGUGCAACUCAAAUGAAUUGACGG